GAUGAACGCUGGCGGCGUGCUUAAUACAUGCAAGUCGAGCGAACAGACGCGGAGCUUGCUCCUCUCACGUUAGCCGCGGACGGGUGAGUCACACGUGGAUACCCUACCUAUAAUACUGGGAUAACUUCGGAAAACCGGAGCUAAUACCGGAUAAUAUAUUGAACCGCAUGGUUGAAUGGUGAAAGACGGUUUUGCUGUCACUUCUAGAUGGUUCCGCGCCGCUUGAGCUAGUUGGUAAGGUAACGGGUUACCAAGGCAACGAUGCGUAGACGACCUGAGAGGGUGGUCGGCCACAUGGGAGCUUGGCCGCGCUCCAGAGGCCUGCGGGAGGCAGCAGUAGGGAACCGGCCGCAAUGGGGGAAAGCCUGACGGAGCGACGCGGCGUGAGUGAUAAAGGUCUUCGGAGCGUAAUACUCUGUUAUGAGGGAAGAACAAAUGUGGAAGUAACUAUGCACGUCUUGACGGUACCUAAUCAGAAAGCAACGGCUAACUACGUG
rnacentral:rRNA from 1 species